rnacentral:lncRNA from 1 species
CUCCUCCUGCAAGACACAACAGAUCAAUUUUCACAGUUACUUUCAGUACGCCACGAUUGCUGGAAAGCAUGUCAACAGCAUACCUGCCAGUCUGCCAACUCUAAAAUUUGUAAAAAUCAGGACAGGGAGGGGGUGGCACACAUUUUUUAGAGAGACACUAAAGGAAAACAAUAAGCAGAGUUAUAUCAACAGAUUAUUCGUCUAGAAGUAUAAAUCACAGUUGUUUGU